GAGACCCUGCCCCUCACAGCUGCCCGCCCGCACAAGUCCUCAAAAGGCUGGGAAGGCGCGUGGUGGAGCUUCUUCCCACUCUUUUGAGGAUCUCUGCGUGCGGGCAGGUGUGACGGGACGGCGUUCCCGCACUUUGAGAGGCUUCUGAGCCCCUUUCCUCAGGGCAGUGAGGGCGCGGCGUUCUCCCGGCGGGUUGGUGCCCGCUCCUCAGGGCUGCCGAGCGGCGCUGGCGUUCUCCCGGGCAGCUUGGUGGCUCCUUUCUGGCUCUGAACGCGGUGUGGCUGCGAAAAGCUUCCUUCCCUGUCUCAGGAAAGUAAAGUUUUGGGUUUUUAAGUAGAGUAGCGCUCCGAGGGGCUGUUUACGGACGGUCCGUGCCGCCUCCCCUUGCGGCUGUUUUGCUUUUGGCUGUGGCACUGGGUGAGGGGGCCCAAACAGGUGAAUUACUGGUUCUUUCUCCCUGAAACUGACUUAGCAAAGCAAUCUUUGCCUGGAAAUAAACACUUGUAGUUGCUGGCAGCCUCCCAGGGGAAGGUCUGUGCUAGUCCUUAACCCUCCCGGGGUUCAAGUAGCAGCAUCAGCUAAAGAGGUGCCAGAAAGGCCAUCUCCAGAAUUGUUUCCAUUCUACAAAAGCAAAUUAGUGCCUGAUUGCAAAGAGCUCACUUGGCUUUUCAGGAGAAUCCUGCUUUUGCCUGUUCAAGGCACCUUUUACAGCUUCUGCUGGCCUGCAGUUUUCAAUAAAAGCCCAGAAAGUA